rnacentral:misc_RNA from 1 species
GAUGAAGAACGUAGCGAAAUGCGAUAAGUAAUGUGAAAUGCAGAAUUCAGUGAAUCAUCGAAUCUUUGAACGCACAUUGCGCCCGCCAGUAUUCUGGCGGGCAUGCCUGUUCGAGCGUCAUUACAACCCUCAGGCCCCCGGGCCUGGCGUUGGGGAUCGGCGGAAGCCCCCUGCGGGCACAACGCCGUCCCCCAAAUACAGUGGCGGUCCCGCCGCAGCUUCCAUUGCGUAGUAGCUAACACCUCGCAACUGGAGAGCGGCGCGGCCACGCCGUAAAACACCCAACUUCUGAAUGUUGACCUCGAAUCAGGUAGGAAUACCCGCUGAACUUAAGCAUAUCAAUAAGCGGAGGA